rnacentral:snRNA from 1 species
GUGCUUGCUUCAGCACCAUAUAUACUAAAAUUGAAAUGACAGAGAUUAGUAUGGCCCCUGCAAAAGGAUGACAUGCGAAUUUGUGAAGCAUUCAGUUUUUUU